CUUACGUUUGUCUUUGUCAGACUGGUAGCUGCUGGGCUGUGCUUUGGGCUGCUGCACUUAACCUUCUUCUUCAUGAGAAGCAGAGUAAAGGGGAAAGAAGGAUCCCCUUCAACAUACACAAAUACCAGGAACAUUGAAGAAGAGUCGUCUGUUUGAUGCAGACGACACACCACUGAUAACCACGGUAACCAAAACCCUACACUGAUUGGCCACAAAAGUACAAGACUAAAACCAGCCUAUGGGAAACACACUUCCUGGACUGGAAGUCCCGUCUCGUUUUCCAGAUUAUGUUUUCCUUAUGUUAUCAUGUAUUCUUCAUUUUUGUGUUUUGUUUGUUUUCUCAUCUCUCCU